ACGAACGCUGGCGGCAUGCCUAACACAUGCAAGUCGAACGAAGCCUUCGGGCUUAGUGGCGCACGGGUGCGUAACGCGUGGGAAUCUGCCCCUCGGUUCGGAACAACAGUUAGAAAUGACUGCUAAUACCGGAUGAUGACGAAAGUCCAAAGAUUUAUCGCCGAUGGAUGAACCCGCGUCCGAUUAGCUUGUUGGUGAGGUAAUGGCUCACCAAGGCUUCGAUCGGUAGCUGGUCUGAGAGGAUGACCAGCCACACUGGGACUGAGACACGGCCCAGACUCCUACGGGAGGCAGCAGUGGGGAAUAUUGGACAAUGGGCGCAAGCCUGAUCCAGCAAUGCCGCGUGAAUGAUGAAGGCCUUAGGGUUGUAAAGUUCUUUCGCUCGUGACGAUGAUGACGGUAACGAGAGAAGAAGCCCCGGCUAACUUCGU
rnacentral:rRNA from 1 species